GAUGAAGAACGUAGCGAAAUGCGAUAAGUAGUGUGAAUUACAGAAUUCAGUGAAUCAUCGAAUCUUUGAACGCACAUUGCGCCCUUUGGUAUUCCAAAGGGCAUGCCUGUUCGAGCGUCAUUUGUACCCUCAAGCUUUGCUUGGUGUUGGGCGUCUUGUCUCUAGCUUUGCUGGAGACUCGCCUUAAAGUAAUUGGCAGCCGGCCUACUGGUUUCGGAGCGCAGCACAAGUCGCACUCUCUAUCAGCAAAGGUCUAGCAUCCACUAAGCCUUUUUUUCAACUUUUGACCUCGGAUCAGGUAGGGAUACCCGCUGAACUUAAGCAUAUCAAUAAGCGGAGGA
rnacentral:misc_RNA from 1 species